rnacentral:precursor_RNA from 1 species
UCAUCUUCUCCCUCCCUCCCUCUCUCUCUCUCUCUCUCUCUCUUUUCUCUUAUUAUCUUAGGAAGAGAUUGAAAAAAACUCAGGGAAGCAAAGAGGGAGAAAGAGAAAGAGAGAGAGGGGGAGGAAGAAAAAAAA